AUUGAAAGAGAGUGUGAUGUUUCCCAGCACAAAAAGAACGUGCAUAGGGAAUUGUGGGAUGUUAUGAUGGCCAUGUUAAUGUUAGAGAAUUGGUAUAUAAGCUCUUGUGAAAUAUUGGUGGAUAGAGGGUGUCUUCGGUUAGACCAUAUGAUCGACAGGUAUAGAUAAGGAGGAGCAUUUAUAGAGGUUUGUCCAGACUUUUGAAAAGUCAACAUGAGGAUAGGAGUAGUGUGAUGGUUUUCCAACAGAAAGGAUUUCAGUUUUAUCAUGGUUUAGUUUGGAGCCAGAUAUAGAGCCAAAUGUUUUGAAUUGUUCGAGGAGAGUGCUGUAUGAAGAAAGUCUAGAUAUUAUAGCAGAACAGUCAUCUGCAUGCUGAAAUAACUUAAUCUCUGAAGGGUGGUUAGGGAUCCUGAUGCCUUUUAUGAGGAUGUUUUUGUUUAUGUAUGAAGCAAGGGGGUUGAUACACAAUGAGUAUAGAAUCAUGGAUAGUGGACAUCCUUGA